UACGGAGGGUGCGAGCGUUAAUCGGAAUUACUGGGCGUAAAGCGUGCGCAGGCGGUUUGUUAAGCAAGAUGUGAAAGCCCCGGGCUCAACCUGGGAAUCGCAUUUUGAACUGGCAAGCUAGAGUCUUGUAGAGGGGGUAGAAUUUCAGGUGUAGCGGUGAAAUGCGUAGAGAUCUGAAGGAAUACCGGUGGCGAAGGCGGCUACCUGGACCAAUACUGACACUGAGGUGCGAAAGCGUGGGGAGCAAACAGG
rnacentral:rRNA from 1 species